GGAAGGUAGCCGGAUACGGUUUGCCGGGCCGGUCUGCUAAACCGUGCCACCUCCUGGGUGAUGAGGGUUCAAAUCCCUUGCCUUCCG
rnacentral:tRNA from 1 species